rnacentral:lncRNA from 1 species
GUCUCGGGGCGCGGCGGCGGACCGCGGCGCAGCGGGGUACGUCGGCGUGUUGCGGCGCGGCGCGUCACUCUGUCGCGACGUGGCGUGGCGGCGUCAUCGUGGCACAGCGCGUCAUCGUGUCGUGACAUGUCGGCGUGUCGUGACAUGUCAUCGUGUCACCACAUCGCGUCACUGUGUCAUGACGUGUCAUGUCACAACAUCGUCAUCGUGUCACAGCGCGUCGUGGUGUCAUGACAUGUCGUUGUGUCAUGACAUGUCGUCGUGUUGUGACAUGUCGUUGUGUCGUGACAUGUCGUUGUGUCAUGACAUGUCGUGUCGUGACAUGUCGUUGUGUCGUGACAUGUCGUUGUGUUGUGACAUGUCAUUGUGUCACCACAUCGCGUCACUGUGUCACGACGUGUCAUGUCACAACAUCGUCAUCGUGUCACAGCGCGUCGUGGUGUCAUGACAUGUCGUUGUGUCAUGACAUGUCAUCGUGUCGUGACAUGUCGUCCUGUCACCACGUCGCGUCACUGUGUCACGACGUGUCAUGUCACAACAUCGUCAUCGUGUUGCAGCGCGUCGUGGUGUCGUGACAUGCGGUCGUGUCACGACGUGCCAUCACAUUUGUGUCAUGACGUGUCGUCAUGUCGUAACAUGUCACAACAUGUCACUGUCAUCAUGUCGUGAUACGUCAUCGUGUCACGUCACGACAUGUCACCGUGUCACAAUGUGUCAUCGUAUUGUGACGCGUCAGCGCGUCGUGACGUGUUACACCGUGUCACUGUCGUGACAUGUCGCUAGGUGUCAGCAUGUCACAUCGUGCCCCGACGUGUCAUCAUGUCAUGACGUCUCGUUGUGUCAUGCCAUGUCGCUGUGUCACAAUGUGUCAUCACGUCGCGACAUGUCACAAUGUCAUUGUCACGACGCGUUGCGUUAUGACAUCACCGUGUUGUGACAUGUCGUGACGUCUCAUGUCACACCGUGUCAGAACUUGUCACUGUGUCAUGACGUCAUCAUGUCACGAUGUGUCAUCAUGUCGUGACAUGUCACCAUGUCACAACACGUCACUGUCGCAACUUGUGUCACGAUGCCACUGUUACAUGUCGGCCUGUUGCAACAUGUCAACGUCGUGACAUCGUGUCCUGACAUGUCACCAUGUCACGUGUCGCCAUGCUGCGACACGUCCCCAUGUCCCGGCACGUCCCCAUGUCCCGACACGCCGCCAUGUCGUGCCAUGUCCCGGCACGUCCCCGUGUCGCGAUGCGUCCCCACGUUGCUGCGGCGCCGCGUGUCGCCGCGCCGCGUCACCGUGUCGCGACAUGUCAGGACGCGUCGCCGCAGACGGAGCCACGCGGCCAAUAAAUGGGAACGGAUCCGGCCCCG